UGCUGCUUUCAUGAAGGAUGAAGGGAUGGACUGUGGACGGUUUUCUAGGAUGUCUACAAGGAUAGAGAUAUCUGGAAGCUAUUUUGGUUUCUGAUGAGUGUCAGAGGCCUUGACACUUUCCCUCUUAACCAUUUGAGGACAUCUUUGUAGCCAGAGCUGUCUUUAUAUGAUGGCAAAUGGUGUGGGAAGGAAAACCUUCAGACUUGGAUAAUGUCAGCUUUGCUUUGGAAGAGUAGUCUUUAGAAACAGUUCUGUAUUCUCUGUUGUCUCAUUUACUUCUUACUGGAUUGAUUAUUUUUAGAAACAUUCCAUAAUUCUAUAUUUUCUGGCUUCCCAAAAUGAGUGUAUUUUCUUAUGUCUAAAGUAGUUAACAUGUGUUGCUAUCUAAUUUACCUCUUUCUCUGUAUUUCAGAGUAACUCUCAUUUAUUUCACAAAGAGCUGAAAUAAUUGCUGAGAGGACAACACACCUUCUUGUCUCGGCUUGUGUCUCUGAGAUGAGAUGGAUACCUGAUUAUAAUCCUGUUAGCCACUAGGCAGGUGUCCUAAACGUUGCUCUUCACAAUCCUGAAUUUUCCACCUGGAAGCUUUCGCAUCUGCUACUUUUUAAACAUUGAUACAGAGCCUCUAACUGAAUAUGCUCAGCAAUGUGCCCACAUGGUGUGGAAUGAGUGGGUACCUGUCGGCAGCAAGAGGUCAACAACCCUCAGCAGCAGAGCCCCUUCCUGAGGCCAUCCUGCCCAGCUUGUACCCAGUGGUCAUCAGUCAACACAGCAGCGCUGAACAAAGCUACACAAGGUAGAAGCAGACCUUUGCUGUAAGACCCACUCACUCGCCCCACGAGCUCUGAACUACCUUCUCUAAGUUAAGAGCAACUUACCUGAAGCUAAAGGCCUUGUGUGAGGCUGAAGGAUAUGAUCUUGUCAAGUUGGAGCUUUAAAUACAG